rnacentral:lncRNA from 1 species
UCUUUUAUGUGCAUAAUGAAAAUAAAACAGGGAAUCAAAAAAGAUGAAAAUAUUCUCAUUAUGAACUGAGCAGGACUAGUGUUUUUACAAGAAAUCUCUAACCAACCUCUUUUUGUUGGGUUGUAAUAUAAAUAGUACAUGAUGGAGCUCGAGUAGUAAAGUAUUGAUUCAGCUGUCAGGGGCAAGGAUCUAGGGUUAAUUCCAAUCAAUAAAUUGGAACAACUUCGUAAAUAUAUCAUCAAUAUAGAAAUCGAAAGGAUCCGAUUCGGGCAAGUUUUCAAUUCAAAAGGAAAUUUUGUUGGAAUUGAUAAAACUCUUUCGAUUCAAAGUGUAUCGCGGGGAAUCAACCAUUCGUAUGAUUUUUUGAUAGAAAGAAAUCACAAAAGGGGUAUGAUGCUGCCAUUU